rnacentral:rRNA from 1 species
UGAGUACGAGAUGCUACGGCAUCGAAGCAGUCUAUGUCAUACUUCCAAGAAAAGCUUGCAAUGUCAUAAACAAAUAAUGCCUGUACCAUAACCGACACAGGUGGGUAGGUAGAGUAUACUAAGGGGCGCGAGAUAACUCUCUCUAAGGAACUCGGCAAAAUGACUCCGUAACUUCGGGAGAAGGAGUGCCUUAUUUUUAUAAGGUUGCAAUAACAAGAUCCAAGCAACUGUUUACCAAAAACACAGGUCUCCGCUAAGUCGUAAGACGAUGUAUGGGGGCUGACGCCUGCCCAGUGCCAGAAGGUUAAAGAAGUUGGUUAGCAUUAGCGAAGCUGAUAACUGAAGCCCUGGUGAACGGCGGCCGUAACAAUAACGGUCCUAAGGUAGCGAAAUUCCUUGUCGGGUAAGUUCCGACCCGCACGAAAGGCGUAAUGAUUUGGAUACUGUCUCGGAGAGGGGCUCGGUGAAAUAGACUUGUCUGUGAAGAUGCGGACUACCUGCACCUGGACAGAAAGACCCUAUGAAGCUUUACUGUAACUUGAGAUUGAAAUUGGACUUUAUCUGCGCAGUAUAGGUGGGAGACGUUGAAAAUAUUCUUGCGGGAAUAUUGGAGUCAUCAGUGAGAUACCACUCUUAUAAUGUUAGAUUUCUAACUUUGUAUCAUUAUCUGGUCAAAGAACAGUUUCAGGCGGGCAGUUUGACUGGGGCGGUCGCCCCCCAAACGGUAACGGAGGCGCACAAAGGUUUCCUCUGAACGUGUAGAAAUCGUAUCUAGAGUGUAAAGGCAUAAGGAAGCUUGACUGUGAGACCUACAAGUCGAGCAGGGACGAAAGUCGGUCUUAGUGAUCUGACGGUGCUGAGUGGAAAGGCCGUCACUCAACGGAUAAAAGUUACUCUAGGAUAACAGGCUGAUCUCCCCCAAGAGUUCACAUCGACGGGGAGGUUUGGCACCUCGAUGUCGGCUCAUCGCAUCCUGGGGCGGUAGUACGUCCCAAGGGUUGGGCUGUUCGCCCAUGAAAGCGGUACGCGAGCUGGGUUCAGAACGUCGUGAGACAGUUCGGUCCAUAUCCGGUGUAGGCGUUAGAAUAUUGAGAGGAGCCUUCUUUAGUACGAGAGGACCGAGAAGGACAUACCUCUGGUGUACCAGUUAUCGUGCCAACGGUAAACGCUGGGUAGCCAUGUAUGGAGAGGAUAACCGCUGAAAGCAUCUAAGUGGGAAGCCCACCUCAAGAUAAGUAUUC